AUUGAACGCUGGCGGCAGGCCUAACACAUGCAAGUCGAGCGGAGCGGCGGACGGGUGCGUAAUGCCUAUGAAUCGGCCUGGUAGUGGGGGAUAGCGUCCGGCAACGGGCGCUAAUACCGCAUACUAUCAGAUGAGCCUAGGCCGGAUUAGCUAGUGGGGGGGGAAAAGGCCUACCAAGGCGACGAUCCGUAACUGGUCUGAGAGGAUGAUCAGUCACACGGGAACUGAGACACGGUCCAGACUCCGACGGGAGGCAGCAGUGGGGAAUAUUGGACAAUGGGAGAAAGCCUGAUCCAGCCAUGCCGCGUGUGUGAAGAAGGUCGUCGGAUUGUAAAGUACUUUAAGUUGGGAGGCGUUACCUACAGAAUAAGCACCGGCUAACUUCGUGCCAGCCGCCGCGGUAAUAC
rnacentral:rRNA from 1 species